CUCUUCCCUGUUCCUCCUACCCCUCCUCCCCCUCUCGUCUUCUCCUCCUCCCCCUCUCGUCGCCCCCUCUCUCUUCCUCCCUCCUGCUGUCGCUGUCUUGAGUAGGAAGGAGAGGCGAAGUUCACUGGACGGCAGGCAGCUACCCUACCUUCCUCUGAACAGGACCCUAUUAGAAUCAGGACAUCAUGGGCAUUAGGACAUCAGGAACAUCAGUAUAAUCAGACAAAGACAUCAGGGCCAUCUUGGGAAGACAUCAGGACAUUAGGGGAAGCAGCAGCAGAAGUCCUGAAGGAUUCUUAACACGAAGGUGAUGUCCUUGAUACCCGGCCCUCCUUAGGCCUAACUUGUGGCCCAGUACCAUCACACUCAGGUGACCUUAUCGUCUUCCCAGGGGGUCGUAACAUUACCCAAGAGCCCUUAUUCCUGUGGACCUUAAUGUCAUCUCUGGGCCCUUCGCAUCAUCCAGGGCCUUUUAUCAUGUUCCUUAGGGCGUUGCCCAUGCCCCAGGGCCUCUUCCCAUCUUUCCAGGGCCCUUUUCAUCAUUCCCAAGGCUCCUUACCAUCAUCCCAGAAGCGUUAUCGUACCCAGGAACACUGUGGUGACGAGUCCUUCAGAUCCUUCACGUGUCCAUGAACCAAGGAUGAUAUGAUCGCUAAGGAUAAUAUUUCAGUUGAUUAUUUUCUUAUUUACAAUUACGGGAAAGAGUUUAAGAAUAAUACUAAAAUUGACUCGACCGAAAUAUUGAGAGCACUGCUAUAUGUCCUGCUUAGUUCCUCUUGUUCAUUCUAUAUCAUUUAGCAGAUAUAUAUCACUUAGGACUUGAUAUAUAUAUAUUUUGUAAACUGUGAUCACAUAUCUGUUUAUAUAUGAAGAGAAAAAAUUACUCAAAUGCUUCUGUGUAGAUACAACAAUAACCUUUUAGAAGUCUUUUUUGUUUCUGAUAAUUGCAAUCAUUAUUUGGACUUGUUUAAAUGUGUUUUUUGAUGUUUAUUGAUGCCUUUACGCCUUUGUUGUGAUGUAAAGAGCGUAAUUAUGUACUUACAAAUGGUUACCUUCAAUGCAAUAGGAAUUUUACUAAAGUUUCCGUCCAUGUAAGUACAAAAAAGUAUAUGUUUACUUAAGAGGACCACUGAAUGUUAUUUGUUACACUUAAGAGGACUAUUGAAUGCCUCCUCUCCACCAAUCAACAAUCACCAUCUCUCCUUUCCACCAAUCAUCAACCACCAGCCCCAACACUUCACCAAUCAACAACCACUAUCUUUCCUCUCCACCAAUCAUCAUCCACCAUCUCUCCUCUCCACCAAUCAACAUCCCUCUUCUCCACCAAUCAACAACCACCAUCUCUCCUCCACCAAUCAUCAUCCACCAUCUUUCCUCUCCACCAACCACUAGCCCCAACACACCACCAGACCCCGUUAUUACCACACACAACCACUUAAUACACUCCACGAAGGUUGUAAAAUGUUGUUAGUGCCUAAGGUUGUAACUACAUUGUUAUAUUUGUUAUUAUUUGUUAUCAUAACAGACCCCAAGUGAAGUAAAAUACAAUAAAAAGAGAGAAUUAUAUACAGGAA
rnacentral:lncRNA from 1 species